rnacentral:rRNA from 1 species
AUUGAACGCUGGCGGCAUGCCUUACACAUGCAAGUCGAACGGCAACGCGCGUUCUUGUGCCUGCUGGCGGGUAACGGGCGGGUAAUAAAUCCGUACGUACCCGUCCUUGGGGGGUGACUAGGCCGGAGCUAUCCUGAUUCCUCACACGAUCUAUGGACGAAAGCAGGGGAGGGCCAGUCCUUCCUCGCGCGGUGGGGUCGAUGGCUGAUUAGUUAGUUGGUGGGUUAAAAGCUUACCAAGCCGACGAUCUGUAGCUGGUCUGAGAGGAUGAUCAGCCACACUGGGACUGAGACACGGCCCAGACUCCUACGGGAGGCAGCAGUGGGGAAUUUUGGACAAUGGGCGAAAGCCUGAUCCAGCAAUGCCGCGUGUGGGAUGAAGGCCUUCGGGUUGUAAAGUGAUUUUGUACGGAAAGAAAACCUUGGUUCUAAUACGGGCGGGGGAUGACGGUACCGGAAGAAUAAGCACCGGCUAACUACGUG